rnacentral:tRNA from 1 species
GCUUGUGGCUUAGCGGAAAGCAGCGUGUAGAGCCUUUGAGGGGAGGCAUGGGUUCGAAUCCCAUAGCAAGCA